UUCGAGGGACGUGUCAAUAAACCAAGGUGU
rnacentral:piRNA from 1 species